GUGAGGAAUAUUGCGCAAUGGAGGCAACUCUGACGCAGCCAUGCCGCGUGCAGGAAGAAGGCGCUACGCGUUGUAAACUGCUUUUAACCGGGAAGAAACCCCAGGACGUGUCCUGGGUUGACGGUACCGGAGGAAUAAGCACCGGCUAACUUCGUGCCAGCAGCCGCGGUAAUACGAAGGGUGCAAGCGUUAUCCGGGUUCAUUGGGUUUAAAGGGUGCGUAGGCGGAGCGUUAAGUCAGUGGUGAAAUCCUGCAGCUUAACUGUAGACUUGCCAUUGAUACUGGCGCUCUUGAGUGCGCUUGAAGUGGGCGGAAUGUGCCGUGUAGCGGUGAAAUGCUUAGAUAUGGCACAGAACACCAAUUGCGAAGGCAGCUCACUAAGGCGAUACUGACGCUGAGGCACGAAAGCGUGGGGAUCGAACAGGAUUAGAAACCCCUGUAGUCC
rnacentral:rRNA from 1 species